rnacentral:rRNA from 1 species
GAUGAACGCUGGCGGCGUGCCUAAUACAUGCAAGUCGAGCGGCAGCGCGGUCUUCGGACUGGCGGCGAGCGGCGGACGGCUGAGUAACACGUAGGAACGUACCCCAAAGUGAGGGAUAAGCACCAGAAAUGGUGUCUAAUACCGCAUGUGAUCUUCGGAUGAAAGCUUUAUGCGCUUUGGGAACGGCCUGCGUCCGAUUAGCUAGUUGGUGAGGUAAUGGCUCACCAAGGCGACGAUCGGUAGCUGGUCUGAGAGGAUGAUCAGCCAGACUGGGACUGAGAACGGCCCAGACUCCUACGGGAGGCAGCAGUAGGGAAUUUUCCACAAUGGGCGAAAGCCUGAUGGAGCAACGCCGCGUGCAGGAUGAAGGCCCUCGGGUCGUAAACUGCUUUUAUUGGUGACGAUUAUGACAGUAGCCAAUGAAUAAGGAUCGGCUAACUCCGUGCCAGCCGCCGCCGUAA